rnacentral:rRNA from 1 species
GCGCAGCAGGCGCGAAAACUUCACACUGUGCGAAAGCACGAUGAGGGAAUCCCAAGUGCUUGCACGUAAGUGUAAGCUGUUUCUCUGUCUAAAACGCAGAGAGAGUAAGGGCUGGGUAAGACGGGUGCCAGCCGCCGCGGUAAUACCUGCAGCUCAAGUGGUGACCGUUAUUAUUGGGCCUAAAACGUCCGUAGCCGGUUUAAUAAAUGCCUGGGUAAAUUGUGUAGCUUAACUAUACGAAUUCCGGGUAGACUGUUAAACUUGAGACCGGGAGAAGUUAGAGGUACUCCUGGGGUAGAGGUGAAAAUUCUGUAAUCCUAGGGGACCACCAGUGGCGAAGGCGUCUAACUAGAACGGGUCUGACGGUGAGGGACGAAGCCCUGGGGCGCAAACGGGAUUAGAUACCCCUGUAG